rnacentral:rRNA from 1 species
GAUGAACGCUGGCGGCGUGCCUAAUACAUGCAAGUCGAGCGAACAGACGAGGAGCUUGCUCCUCUGACGUUAGCGGCGGACGGGUGAGUAACACGUGGAUAACCUACCUAUAAGACUGGGAUAACUUCGGGAAACCGUAGCUAAUACCGGAUAAUAUAUUGAACCGCAUGGUUCAAUAGUGAAAGACGGUUUUGCUGUCACUUAUAGAUGGAUCCGCGCCGCAUUAGCUAGUUGGUAAGGUAACGGCUUACCAAGGCAACGAUGCGUAGCCGACCUGAGAGGGUGAUCGGCCACACUGGAACUGAGACACGGUCCAGACUCCUACGGGAGGCAGCAGUAGGGAAUCUUCCGCAAUGGGCGAAAGCCUGACGGGGCAACGCCGCGUGAGUGAUGAAGGUCUUCGGAUCGUAAAACUCUGUUAUUAGGGAAGAACAAAUGUGUAAGUAACUAUGCACGUCUUGACGGUACCUAAUCAGAAAGCCACGGCUAACUACGUG